rnacentral:lncRNA from 1 species
AGUGGAGGCGCCACUGGUCUCUUCCCGCCUUUCUUCGCCAUUUGAUCUUGAUCCCCCAACAAUCUCCAUUCUCCCCUUCUUCCCUGGGGGGGGGGCAGUUUUGGGACUCGUCUCAGGGGACCAAAUGACCCCCCUGCAGGAGUAAGUCUGGCCAAGGUGGCUGGGACGUCAGCUCAGGCAAAUGCAACCCAGGGAGGAUUUCACCCUGAAGCCUGUGCCCCUUUUUCAUCUUUGCCUCCUUCUGAACCUGCCCCUGGGAAUUCGGCUGGUGUUUCUCUCCCUCCUCCAUAAGGAAAGCCCUGAGCACUAGCAUUCCCUGGGCGGUUGCCAGAUGCUGAGGGGUGAGCGCUCUGCACAUGCCUAGGAGUAAACCAUCUACCAGCGUCUGUUAGAUUCCCUUAGGUGAGAGAAAGGGUUUCUAGAGUGAUAGCCCAGUAGGUGCCUCCCAGAACUCAUUGGAGGAAGAGUAAAUGGUGACCACCACAGCCCUGUCGAAAACGAGGACACAGAUAUCAUUCAAUGGGUCUGUGCUAAUGUAGGUAAUAUUCAUCUGUAUGUUUUGAAGUAUGGUUGAUUCCCACCCCCCUCAAUUUUAUUAUUUUAUCUGUUAGUAAACCACGUUGCAGUUUUUUGUUUUACAAUCAAGUGGUGUAUACAUUUAAUGAAAUAAACAAAUGGCCAAAGGCAACUUAAAAACAAUUACUGUAAUUUAAAUAGAAAUAUAAUACUUCUCACCGUAUUUAGGUGACCUGAAUGCCUGCUUGGUCUGCUGUCCAAAUGCUGACUGUUGGUGGGCAUUUGUUUGAAAACUGCAGCUAGACUAUAAAGCCUUUCAAAGAAUGGUGUGUCUGCUAUGUCUCUGUUCCAGCACUCUUUUGUUUAAUCAAAUUUCCACUAUACUUUUCUUCAACAAGGCUACACUUUGUGAAAAACAACCUACUCACAAUGGGCUUCAGAAACCACAAAGUGGCUGUCUAACAACAUGCAGAUUGUCACACUCACACAAAUUAAUUAAUUAAUUAAUUAAUUAAUUACAGAUCGUUCCAAAGAGCACCCACAUUGAAGUAUGAUUUCCGGUAAAAUAACUUAUGGUGAAAAGAAUCUUUAGGCAAUCUUAAUGCAUGGAAGCGUUAUGGGUAUUUAAAGAGCUUAGAUGGUUAUUUGAAGCUUGCUCUUUUAAAAUAUACAUUGAGCUUUUGAAGGAAAUGUCAAGACACAACUCCAGUUUUUCUGAUAUCUGCAGGCAUAACACAUUGCCCACAGUCAAAUUGGACUUAUUUGAGUAAUAUAAUAAUUUUAAUAUUUGAAACGGAAAUGAGAUGAAGUGGGUGUCGAUCAGGGAGAGAGAGCUUUAUUGGCAGUAACACCCCAGCUAUGGAACAGCCUCCUCAGUGAGUCUUUCCUGGUGCCUUCUUUAUCUUCUCUAAAUCAUCUAGUGAAGACCUUUUGGUUCACCCACAUGGUUUAAUUCUUUAUUGAAGCUUGGGUGUUUUAUACUCUCUGUGAUGCCAUCCAUAUAAGUUGCAAAAGAUGUUUUUGGUUCUCUUUUAUCUUUGGUUGAUCAUCAUUUUUAAUUAUUAUAAAUCAAGACAGAUCCAUAUAGUCAGAAAUACGUCCCUCUCAAUCCCUACCAUUUCAUUUACUUAUGUUCUGGGAUUUGGCGCCCAGAAUCUUAAAAUUCAUUAGGAGAUCUGCCCCUGAUUCCAAGCUACUCUGUGUAUAACAUAGGCAAAAUGACAGAAUCUACAUGCUAGAACAGCUUUAGAGAGAUAGAUAAAUGUAAUACAAUAGAUAAAAGGCAAGAUUAAAACAACUCCCAAUUGAGAUCAAAAAGCUAAGGUUGGAGGAUAAAACCUGCAAUAAGAACAAGAUACAAAGCUGAAACUAAAUCUAAAUGUCUUCACCCGACACAUACAAAAACAUCAAAGUGAUGUCUCUGUGAGUGGAAGGUGCAGGAUUUAUUUCCCACAUCCAUCUCUCUGAAAGAGGGAAAGAGUUGAGUGGUGGUGAAGAGAGGGCAUCAUUCCGCAGCAGAGACUGCUAAAUAAGAGGGAGUCACCUUUUCUUUCAGUUGUUUUGCUAAACUGAGUCAAUCCCCUCCCUCCCUCCCUGGCCACCCCUUUGGCCGUUGACUCUUCGGCCGACAGUAAUAACCAAUUGACUUUGACCUACUUUAGUCUGUGAUUUCGUCCUUAGCCCUUGGUUUUAAGCAAUGGCUCCAACCUUAAACUGCUGUUGAUUCCAAGAAACGACAGACUAGCUGAGGUCGUUUAUUGCAUUUUAAAUUGUAUUCACUGCAUGUGAAAAAGCAAUAAAAUACAUUUUCAAAACCGGCGUUGAUAUGCUUAAUAUUUCGCUGUUGGCCCGUUUCGAGCAGUGGUUCCAACCUUAAACUGCCAAGUCAGUGCAAGUAACUACGCCACAACUGAAUAAAGUGGCGAGUCCCACACCUGCAUCGUACAUAAAUCACACUUGCGGUCCAACCAAAGAACACGCCCUUUACAAGGUUGCACACACUUCGUAUCUGAAACGGAAUGCAAUCCCAAUGCAAUCCCUUCUCCGUGGGUUUGAGGGACUGACACAACAGCCCUGUAAUGCAAGUCUGUCGCAGCUCAAAGGUUGGGGGUUAGGUUGCUCUCGGUUUCCUACCCAAAAUCCCUAAUAGAAGGUCAGCCUUAUUGAAACUGCCCUAUUAGGCGUCCUCCCAGUGUUAAUUCAACACUCCAACACGUAUUUCCGAACAGAAACCUGACCUCCUGGUCCGUGUGUUUCAGUAGCCAUGAAGUUUAAAUGUUCAUUAAAACAACCAUCAGCAAAGCGCUAAUAUCAAAUUGGCAUUGCUACUGUUCAUAUUAGGAAGUUACUUUGUGGUACAUUCUGCUUUGAAAUUUGUCAAAUUAUAAUUUAUGCGGUGAAACAUUGUGAUCUUUGAAUCUUGGAGGAGAAAGGGACAUAAUGUAUAAACGAAGUAGUAAUAGGUUGAAACGCAGCUAUGUAUUUGAUACCUCAACUAUGCUUGCUUGUUUCCCUUUCCUCGUCCUCCUACAAAUAAACCCAAUUAUAUGUUCUUAUGGUUUUUAUUUACUGAAUUUAUACGCCGCCCUUCGGUGCCCACAUCGGCAAACAGAAACAGUACACAAUUUAAAAACAAAAACAAAGCAAAAACAUUCUAAAACAUUUCGAACAUUAAAAAAAUAACAAUUGCAAACACCUAAAAGCAAUUUCAGUUAGGAAGAAUCCUAAAAGUAAUUAUAGGAGGUUUGUUGGUUUGUUUUUUCAACUAUUCUUCUGUCCGCUGAUCUCGGGGUUGUCAGGAACGUUAUUCUGCAGCCACCAAAUGCCUGAGCAAACAGGAAUAUUUUCAAAUUCCUAAUGAAACGCAAUAAUGAUGAAGACAGAGAGCUUUCCGCAACCGGGGAACCUCUUUAAAUGGGCUGGCCGUCCAGAUCGAAUUAAAGCAAAUUAAACCAACUACAACGGCACUGUCGUCUUAUUUAUUUUUUUGGGUUUAUAAAAGAUUAACAUACGAAUCCUAACUUGCAGGUACCAGCUUGGAAAAGGCAUUCUUGGUGCAAGGAACUCCUCUUCUAAGAUGGCGGGUGACCUUGAAUAUCCAAUGCACCGUUUUUAAAAGAACGUAAGCUGUUUCCUAAGUCUUCAAAACUAGCGAAAAAUGAAUGCAAAUUUAAUCAUAUGUUAAUAAAAUAUAGAUUGCUUACAUAGCUUAGAUUUCUUUCUUCGGUUGCCGCCGCUCUUAUGUAUACCGUAUUAUUCGCAUUUGAUACGAUUGCUGGCAGUUGCCAGAGCCUCUAUCCAAAGCGAUGUACUAAUUUAUUUAGACGGCAGAGGCUGAAAUGAGGGGUAUUGGAAUUAAGUUGUUCCAAGCUUCUUUGUCGAUAUGAAAAAAAUUAUACUUGGUUCUUUUUAGAACAACAACAAAACCUUUUUAAAAAGGAGAGUACCCGUUUAAGAUACGAAGUGUGUGCUAAAGUGUGUGUGGGGGGGGUUUCCUUUGGUUGGACCUCGCAAGUGUCAUUUUUGUACAAUGCGGGUGUGUAGUAGGCGCCCGAAAGAUCUCUCUCUCUCUCUCUCUCUCGCUCUCUCUCUCUCUCUCUCUCUCCUCUUCCAUUCAGAUGAAGAGUCAAUUGCCAAAGGGGGGUCGACGGAGGGAGGGGUUUGAGCCAGUUUGGCAAAGCAACUGAUUUUUUGAAAGGGAAUGUAACUGUUUCUAUUGGUUGAGAAGCAAGGGUGAAACGCAAAAAUGAUGAAGACGGGGCAGCUGACUGGGAGGGCAUUCCUCAACCGGGGAACCUCGUAUUGGUAGAGAAGUAAGGGUGGGGUGACUCCCUCGUAUUGGUUGAGAAGUAAGGGUGGGGUGACUCCCUCGUAUUGGUUGAGAAGUAAGGGUGGGGUCGCCCAACGGAGAUAAAUGCCCAGACCGAAUCCCCUGCAGAGUGAACGAACCUGAGGGAGUUUUUUUCAUGAUGGCAACCAACAAGGAAGGUAAGAGAAACUUUUUUAAAAAAUGAUUAUUAAGCCCUGAGCUUUCCAUGUCGGGAGGAACAUCGGCAAGCGUCGCUUCAGUUUAAGCUUGCCCAGCGCUUCCUUCAGAUUUGCCUCUUUGUCUUUUCCCAGGAGGAAGCUACCCCAAAGUCGGAGGAGAUAGGAGAAAAAGGACCGUUUUUAGCCCAUCUCACGUCGAGCUCCUAAAAAAGUCCUUUGAAGAGAACCAGUACCCCGGAUACGAGACCAGGGAGGCGCUGGCGAGGUGCAUCGGAGUCGAAGAAGAUCGUGUGCACGUAAGAAUCGGGAUGGUGGGGGCUCCCAAGACUUCCCUAAACCGCACAUACUGGAACAAUUUGAAACGCUCAGAAUAAUCCUUGCGUAGUCGAAGGCCUUAGUUCUCCCGGGUGCCUCUCAGCUUUUUUUGGGGGGGGGGUGUAUCGUGGAUGUAAAGGGUUUUUGUAAAGGGUGGGUGGGUUGUGCUCCCUCCUUUUCAAAUUUAGGAAGAAAUUGUGCCCAUACUUGUUCAGAAAUCCUGGUUCCUGAUUAAGGCUUCCUUUUCCUUCCCUGUAAAUUUAUGCACAGCACACAUUCAUUUAAUGCAGAUUCUGAGUUUUCUGAGAUUCUGACCCCAAACAGGCCAGAACAAAUGGGUAGGUCUUCUGAGUGAGGUAUUUAAAAUUACUAUUACUAUAUUUAUGGAAUUUUAAAAACAAUUGUCUUCCAGCACAAAUGCACACAGAUGUUAAGUCUUGUAUGCAGCCAUCCACUUGGCAUUAACAAAUGCUUGACAAUUUCUUGCAGAUGAAGCUCACAUCCACAGGUUAUACUUCAAUAAAGCAAGUCUUGUGGAACUGUACACUUGUGCAGCUUUUAAAGGUGGCUUUUUCUGAUACAGCAGAACAAAAUACAGCCAAAUAGCAGUAUUUAGUCACUCCAACUUAGAAGCUUUAUGAUUAACAGUAACUGGAGAUUAUGAACAUGGGAUAUUUGAAUGCGGAGCUGAAGAGAGUAGAAAAAUGCUGCAGAGAACUAAAGAGAAACCCCAGAGGAAUAAGCAUAAUUUAUUAAAUGUAAUUCUCUCUGUUGGAUCAAAAAGACAUAUUCAUGGUAACAAUGUCUUCUAUGUUCACAGAACAUAAUGCCUAUAUGCCUUUCGCACAACACAAAACAAGUUAACGUAGGUUCUCCCACUGUCAUAUACUAAUCUUUGCUUGGUUGUUGUACCUGAAAGUGAAAUUAUGACCUACCCGUUUGGAAAUAAUGGGCAUUUGGUUCUCUCCUUUCUUCUGUUCAGAUCUGGUUUCAAAAUAGACGAGCCAGAACACCAAAGAGGAUAGGUUCCAGGAUAAGGAGCGGGAACCAUGCUGCAGCUCCUUAUAGCCACAGUGAAGGAACCCGUCCAAGAAGCAGCCUGGACAGCAGCCCAAGAAGCAGUCCAGGAAACCUCCAAAAUAUUCAUAUGGAACAAUUUUACCAGCCACAGAACUUGCAUUAUGCUGAAAGCUAUGGAGGAGCAGGGUUGUGGCAGCCAACUUUCAACAACACGCAACCAGGAGAGCACCUCUCUGCCCCGCAACAGCAGAGCUCCCUGGAAUUGAACCCUGCUUAUUACCAGCAAGCUGCUUUUUGUGGAACUGGGCUUUAUGAGACUUCUCAGGCGAGCAACUGCCCAGUUCCAUAUUACGGUGCGGAGAUGGUGAGGCAGCCUCCACCAUCAGCUGGGAACUUCUUCAUGGCAUCAAGCACUUAUACUCCCUGGUCUGCAACGGGGAAUUAUUCAGCUACAAAUCCUGUACAAAUGCAGAAUGUUGAUGGAAGUGCUUCGGACUCUCAGUUUUUCUCUUUAAGUCAGGUUCCAGAUUAGCAUCCCAACUCCUUCCUUGCUAUCCUGUACAUAUUUUCCAAGCUCCCUCUUUCAAUGCCUUUUAUUGUAUUACUUUGAUAUUUUGAAUAAAGUUUGUUCCUUUACUAGCUUGUCUGGAGUCUUGAUUUAAUUUUCCAUUUACUGAAACAUUCACUUUCCUGUGUGCAAGCAUAUAAACAUGGGCUUAAUUUUCCCAUAGAAAAAAGUCAGUUGUAAGGUACAUGUGGUUCUAAAGAUAAAAGGUCAGGUCUUCCCCCAGGUUAAUUCCACCCCCCGCAAGGUUUCUGGUCUACUGCCUUCAAAGAAGCUUUAUGGGAGGGUUGCCUGUGAACUAGAGGUACCACUGUAUAUGCCUGAGGGAAGAUAGCCGCGCCCUGUGGUGGCGCCUGGGGAGCGGCUACGAGAUAUCUCUUAAGGGCUUCCCUCUCGACAUUGUCUUCCCUUAUUACGUUCCCGCCGCAUCAGCGCUAUAACGAACGUCUUGCUGGGGCAACGGGGGGGGUGUGUCCUUCCCGCUCCUCUUUCUGGUCCCAACGGCCGCCCAUCCCCCACUCCCUCUCGCUUCGCCGCGUAGAAUCAAGGUUAGCGCCGCGCGCCAUUUCCCGCCCAAACCGCCCCCGCGCAUGCGCCCCCGCCUGUCCUGCCUUGGCGCCCUUUGGCCACGCCUUCCCCUGCGGCGUCGCCUUGGCCGCCCUCUUCCUCCUUCUCCCUGGGCUCCCCGCUUCUCUCCCCCCCCCCUCAGUCUCCUCUUCGCUCCCUCUUCACACAAUGACCCCCACCCCACCCCACCCCGCAGGGGGGACCCACCCGUGAGGCGAGAUAAGCGCAUUAGCAUGUCUGGCCUCUGAGGAAGGCUGCCCCCUCUCGCCUUCCCUUCUGCUCCUUUCAUUCCUUCAUCCUUCUGCUCCCCUGUGGCCCCUCCAGGCUCAGCGCCCCAGGGCAGGGGGGGGGGACUGGCUGGGCUGCCCUAAAUCCGCCUCUGCUUGGGAGCUGGAUCUUCCUCACUUCCACUUCUACCCCACUCCAAAUCUGCCUCUACAGCAGCCUCGGGGCAAAGAGGAGGCGCCACUGGUCUCUUCCCGCCUUUCUUCGCCAUUUGAUCUUGAUCCCCCAACAAUCUCCAUUCUCCCCUUCUUCCCUGGGGGGGGGACAGUUUUGGGACUCGUCUCAGGUGACCAAAUGACCCCCCUGCAGGAGUAAGUCUGGCCAAGGUGGCUGGGACGUCAGCUCAGGCAAAUGCAACCCAGGGAGGAUUUCACCCUGAAGCCUGUGCCCCUUUUUCAUCUUUGCCUCCUUCUGAACCUGCCCCUGGGAAUUCGGCUGGUGUUUCUCUCCCUCCUCCAUAAGGAAAGCCCUGAGCACUAGCAUUCCCUGGGCGGUUGCCAGAUGCUGAGGGGUGAGCGCUCUGCACAUGCCUAGGAGUAAACCAUCUACCAGCUCCUGUUAGAUUCCCUUAGGUGAGAGAAAAGGUUUCUAGAGUGAUAGCCCAGUAGGUGCCUCCCAGAACUCAUUGGAGGAAGAGUAAAUGGUGACCACCACAGCCUGUCGAAAACGAGGACACAGAUAUCAUUCAAUGGGUCUGUGCUAAUGUAGGUAAUAUUCAUCUGUAUGUUUUGAAGUAUGGUUGAUUCCCACCCCCCUCAAUUUUAUUAUUUUAUCUGUUAGUAAACCACGUUGCAGUUUUUUGUUUUACAAUCAAGUGGUGUAUACAUUUAAUGAAAUAAACAAAUGGCCAACGGCAACUUAAAAACAAUUACUGUAAUUUAAAUAGAAAUAUACUACUUCUCACCGUAUUUAGGUGACCUGAAUGCCUGCUUGGUCUGCUGUCCAAAUGCUGACUGUUGGUGGGCAUUUGUUUGAAAACUGCAGCUAGACUAUAAAGCCUUUCAAAGAAUGGUGUGUCUGCUAUGUCUCUGUUCCAGCACUCUUUUGUUUAAUCAAAUUUCCACUAUACUUUUCUUCAACAAGGCUACACUUUGUGAAAAACAACCUACUCACAAUGGGCUUCAGAAACCACAAAGUUGCUGUCUAACAACCUGCAGAUUGACACACUCACACAUAUUAAUUAAUUACAGAUCGUUCCAAAGAGCACCCACAUUGAAGUAUGAUUUCCGGUAAAAUAACUUAUGGUGAAAAGAAUCUUUAGGCAAUCUUAAUGCAUGGAAGCGUUAUGGGUAUUUAAAGAGCUUAGAUGGUUAUUUGAAGCUUGCUCUUUUAAAAUAUACAUUGAGCUUUUGAAGGAAAUGUCAAGACACAACUCCAGUUUUUCUGAUAUCUUCAGGCUUAACACAUUGCCCGCAGUCAAACUGGACUUAUUUGAGUAAUAUAACAAUUUUAAUAUUUGAAACGGAAAUGAGAUGAAGUGGGUGUCGAUCAGGGAGAGAGAGCUUUAUUGGCAGUAGAACCCCAGCUAUGGAAUAGUGAGUCUUUCCUGGUGCCUUCUUUAUCUUCUCUAAAUCAUCUAGUGAAGACCUUUUGGUUCACCCACAUGGUUUAAUUCUUUAUUGAAGCUUGGGUGUUUUAUACUCUCUGUGAUGCCAUCCAUAUAAGUUGCAAAAUAUGUUCUUGGUUCUCUUUUAUCUUUGGUUGAUCAUAAUUUUAAAUUAUUAUAAAUCAAGACAGAUCCAUAUAGUCAGAAAUACGUCCCUCUCAAUCCCUACCAUUUCCUUUACUUAUGUUCUGGUAUUUGGCCCAGAAUCUUAAAAUUCAUUGGUUUCGUAGGAGAUCUGCCCCUGAUUCCAAGCUACUCUGUGUAUAACAUAGGCAAAAUGACAGAAUCUACAUGCUAGAACAGCUUUAGAGAGAUAGGUAAAUGUAAUACAAUAGAUAAAAGGCAAGGUUAAAACAACUCCCAAUUGAGAUCAAAAAGCUAAGGUUGGAGGAUAAAACCUGCAAUAAGAACAAGAUACAAAGCUGAAACUAAAUCUAAAUGUCUUCACCCGACACAUACAAAAACAUCAAAGUGAUGUCUCUGUGAGUGGAAGGUGCGGGAUUUAUUUCCCACAUCCAUCUCUCUGAAAGAGGGAAAGAGUUGAGUGGUGGUGAAGAGAGGGCAUCAUUCCGCAGCAGAGACUGCUAAAUAAGAGGGAGUCACCUUUUCUUUCAGUUGUUUUGCUAAACUGAGUCAAUCCCCUCCCUCCCUCCCUGGCCACCCCUUUGGCCGUUGACUCUUCGGCCGACAGUAAUAACCAAUUGACUUUGACCUACUUUAGUCUGUGAUUUCGUCCUUAGCCCUUGGUUUUAAGCAGUGGUUCCAACCUUAAACCGCCAAGGCAGUGCAAGUAACUACGCCACAACUGAAUAAAGUGGCGAGUCCCACACCUGCAUCGUACAUAAAUCACACUUGCGGUCCAACCAAAGAACACGCCCCCCCCUUUACAAGGUUGCACACACUUCUUAUCUGAAACAGAAUGCAAUCCCAAUGCAAUCCCUUCUCCGUGGGUUUGAGGGACUGACACAACAGCCCUGCAAUGCAAGUCUGUCGCAGCUCAAAGGUUGGGGGUUAGGUUGCUCUCGGUUCCUACCCAAAAUCCCUAAUAGAAACACCCCUCGAGUUACAGCAAAGGUCAGCCUUAUUGAAAAUGCCCCCUUAGGCGUCCUCCCAGCGUUAAUUCAAAGUUACUGUCUAACAACCUGCAGAUUGACACACUCACACAUAUUAAUUAAUUCAUUAAUUAAUUAAUUAAUUACAGAUCAUUCCAAAGAGCACCCACAUUGAAGUAUGAUUUCUGGUAAAAUAACUUAUGGUGAAAAGACUCUUUAGGCAAUCUUAAUGCAUGGAAGCGUUAUGGGUAUUUAAAGAGCUUAGAUGGUUAUUUGAAGCUUGCUCUUUUAAAAUAUACAUUGAGCUUUUGAAGGAAAUGUCAAGACACAACUCCAGUUUUUCUGAUAUCUGCAGGCUUAACACAUUGCCCGCAGUCAAACGGGACUUAUUUGAGUAAUAUAACAAUUUUAAUAUUUGAAACGGAAAUGAGAUGAAGUGGGUGUCGAUCAGGGAGAGAGAGCUUUAUUGGCAGUAGAACCCCAGCUAUGGAACAGCCGCCUCAGUGAGUCUUUCCUUUCCAGUGAGUCUUUAUCUUGUCUAAAUCAUCUAGUGAAGACCUUUUGGUUCACCCACAUGGUUUAAUUCUUUAUUGAAGCUUGGGUGUUUUAUGCUCUCUGUGAUGCCAUCCAUAUAAGUUGCAAAAGAUGUUUUUGGUUCUCUUUUAUUUUUGGCGAAGGCAAAGUGCAAGGGGGAAAAGUUCAAUGAUUUUAGGACUGUAGCUUUCAAAAGUGUAGAUUAGUGGGAGAGAAAUUUUUCUCUAUCCACUUUCUCCAUGCAAUGCAAAAUUUUAUAAAUUUCUGUCAUGCCACCUCUUAUCCAGCUUUUCUCUAAACUAAAUAAUCCCUAAUGCUCCAACCUUUCCUCAUUGUUCCUUCCACUUUUUCACUCUGCCGGCCCUUUUCUGAAUUAUCUGAACUGGAGAUCUGUGAUAACGCAUCACAUGCUUGCAUGCAUAGGGUGGGAUGGGGGGCGCAACUAAUCCCUUCCCCCCUCCCCCCUCCAGUCCUAAUUGCUUUCUAAAUUGCUGUUUCCUUCCCACGGCAGUGGUGGGAAGAAGAUGCGAAGAACGCUGUGUGUUUCGCAGUACAUCACAAAGGAUUGCUGACCUCCCCUCCCGUAUUUAUAAACACAAUAACCGCAAAAUAAUCCCCCUCCCCCUCUACUACAAAUAGUUCUGAAUCUCUACUCCCCUCCCCUCCCCUCGAUUGCUAUUUUAAAACCCAACAGCAGAUGACUACGUAUUACAGUUCUCCCAACAUCAGUCCCAAGCAGUGACAGACCCACAUUUUGGGGGCCCUGAAGUUGAACUGUUCUGGGGGCCCCUUCACAACUACCAAUGAGUUCUAGUUAACCACUGUUGUCUUCUUCAGUGGGGUUGUUCCCUGACAGAUCACCACAUUUUAAAAAUCUGAUUUUGAUUAGAAUUUCUGUUCUGGGUUGUCACACGUCUCAAAGUCACUGGUGUGAAUUAAAAUGUUUAAGAAUGUGGAUUAAUUCUGGUCUGCAGCCCCUCUGGGAUUUGGCGCCCAGAAUCUUAAGAUUAAAUGGUUUCAUAAGAGAUCUGCGCUUGCGUAUCCAAUGCACUGUUUUUAAAAUAAGGUAAGCUUUUUUCUAGCUUAAAAUGAACGCAAAUUUAAUCGUCCAUUAAUAAAAUAUAGUUUGCUUACUCAGCUUAGAUUUCUUUCUUUGGUUGCCACUGCUGUUAUAUUUACCGUCUUAUUCACAUUUGAUGCGAUUCCUGGCCGUUGCCACUGCCUCCAUCCAAGGCGAUGUACAAAUCUAUUUAGACGAGAGGGGAUGCUAUGAGGGGUAUUGGAAUUAAGUUGUUCCAAGCUUCUUUGUCAAUAUGAAAUAAUUUACACUUGCUUCUUUUUAGAACGACAACAAUAUUUUUUUUUAAAAAAGGAGAGUAUCCGUUUAAGAUAGGAAGUGUGUGGUACCUGGUAAAGCGGGGGGGGGGGUGUUCUUUGGUUGGACCGCAAGUGUGAUUUUUGUACGAUGCAGGUGUGGGACACCCCACUUUAUUCAGUUCUGGGGUACAGUGGUACCUCGCAAGACGAAUGCCUCGCAAGACGGAAAACUCGCAAAACGAAAGGGUUUUUGGUUUUUUUAGUUGCUUCGCAAGACGAUUUUCCCUAUGGGCUUGCUUCGCAAGACGGAAACGUCUUGCAAGUUUGUUUCCUUUUCUUAAAACCGUUAAUACAGUUGCGACUUGACUUCGAGGAGCAACUCAUAGCACGCGGUGUGGUAGCCUUUUUUGAGGUUUUUGAAGACUUUGGUGAUUUUUGAAGCUUUUCCAAAACUUUUCCGACACCAUGCUUCGCAAGACGAAAAGAACCGCAAGACGAAAAAACUCGCGGAACGAAUUAAUUUCGUCUUGCGAGGCACCACUGUAGUUACUUGCAGUGGCUUGGCAAAGAAAAUGUGUAGCAGUCGCCGGAAAGUCCUCUCUCUCUCCCCUCACUUCUGAAUUCUCUUCUCUUCAGUUGCCUGCAUUGGAUAAUGCUCCAAGUCAAAACGUGCCAACAGCGAACUAUUAAGCAGAUCAAUGCCGGUUUUUAAAAUGUAUUUUAUUGCUUUUUCACAGGCAAUGAAUAAAAUUUAAAAUGCAAUAAACGACGUUACCUAGUCUGUCGUUUCUUGGAAUCAACAGCAGUUUAAAGUUGGAACCGCUGCUUAAAACCAAGGGCUAAGGAGGAAAUCACAGACUAAAGUAGGUCAAAGUCAAUUGGUUAUUACUGGCGGCCGAAGAGUCAACUGCCAAAGGGGUGGCCGGGGAGGGAGGGAGGGGAUUGACUCAGUCAAUCAAUCAAUAGACUUUAUUUGCGUAGCCGACAGGCCAUAGCAUCAAAGGACAAACACCGACAAAAAUACAUUACAAAUAUAGUUACCAUAAAAUCUUAUGACCUAUUAAAACCCUAGGUAGAAGCUGGAUUAUCAUACAUCAAUGACCCUCUGUCCCAUGGGCGGCGGCCUUUUCUCUGGUACAUUGUUCCAUGUCUGUUAAGUAAAUAGACCAGCCAAAUUAAAAGAUUAUAAAUAUAAAUAUAACCUCGGAGGGAUGGUCAGGACAGGGAGAAAGAUAAUAAUAACCAGAUGCAGAUAAAUCAAUAAUCUCAGUACUUAAAACUUGGCAGACGUAAUAAAAUACUAGUAAUAAAACAUAAUGAAAAUAAUGAUAAGAUCCUAGGCGAGGAAUCCGGGUGACGACACUCAUGUCAGUCAGAUAGCAGCUCUCAGUCUCAUUGCUCUCUCGAUAAAUUUGGCAACCUUCUCUGUUGUCGAGCUGUUCUGGUCGGCUAGGAGUGAGAACAAUUUGGCUUCGCAAGAGCAGCCCGGUAUGGCAGAUAGGAGCGGCGUGAUGGUCUCGUCCCUGAGAUCUUUAUAUAGGGAACAAGACAGGAGAACGUGUGACACAGUCUCUACGUAGCCAGCUCCACAGGGGCAGAGCUGGUUCUCAAAUGAAAUUUUUUGAUAUCUACCUUCAAGAACAGCUGAGGGUAACAUAUUUAGUCUGGCCAGUGUAAAGGCCCGUCUGAGUUUUGGAAUGGUUAAGGUAGACAAAUAAGGUGCCCGAAAAUCAAAGUGGGAGGGGGGCAGAUAAGCGUACCAAGCACUAAAUUUCUUAAUAUAGGCCAGAUUAUUCUGCUGCUCAAUAGCCUUCAUGUGCUGGUCAAUAAUGGUUUUUGCCUUGGGAGACCCAUUUUCAGGAGAUGCUGUGCUUGGAGGCCACAUGUAAGUAGUUUUUGAUGCACUACUUUGGACCACCGACUUCUAUGAGCAUCUCGUGCUACUAGAGGUAGUAGUCCGGAUGGGUUUAAAUUUAAGCGAAGCCAAUAGUUGAAUGUUCUUAGCCAGGUUUGGGUUUCAACGGAGAGGAGGCCAGUCUCCAGCCGUAGGGCCACAUUUGGUGCGCAUGGUGGAACGGCUAGAAUCUGUCUUAAGAAUUUAGACUGGACCGUUUCAAGUGUGCGGCAAUGAUUUCCCGUCCAGAUUUGGGCCCCGUAGAGUAAUUGCGCCAAGGGUUUUGCUUGAAAGACCUCCAGAGCUGCUGAGAUGUGUCUGCCCCCCUUCGUAAAGUAAAAGUGUGACAGUAUUUUGGCGCUUUGAGAUGCUUUUUCCCUAGCAUAUUGACUGGGAAACUACUCCAAGGUAUUUGAAAAUUUUGACCUGUUCUAUUGGCUGAUUGUCCAUCUCCCAUCUGUGAUGUCUGUGUCUCCUAGCGAAGACCAUGACUUUGGUUUUUUGGUGAUUAACCACCAGUUGAUCUCUCCUACAGUAGGCUGAGAAUUCUCUUAGUAGCCUUUUGAGGCCUACUUUAGUUCGUGAUAAGAGAACCGCAUCGUCCGCAUAGAGGAGCGCUGAAAUUGAUUUUUUGGCAAGUUUGGGGGCAUGAAACUCUGGGGAUGUUAGGUAUUUGACCAUGUCAUUUAUAUAUAAGUUGAAUAAGGCCGGGGCUAAAAUACAGCCCUGCUCGACUGCUUUGGUGGCUGGUACAGGGCCAAUUAGUUGCCCAUUUACUGAGGUUCUUACAUAUAACUUGGAGUCUUUAUAUAGGCUUUUUAUCAAGAAUAGUAAUCUUUUGUCAAUGUUGGUAGCAUUGAGUUUAGCCCAAAGUUUGACUCGUGAGAUCAAGUGAAAGGCCGCCUUCAGGUCAAUAAAUGCUGCGUAUAGAAUCCCACGUGUUUUAUUGACGUAUUUGUCAAUGAGGUGUGCUAAUACGAAGCAAUGGUCUAUUGUUGUUCUGCCCUGUCUGAAGCCGGCUUGCUCCUCUGCCAGAACUGCCUCAGUUUCCAUCCAGGAUUGACUCAGUUUAGCAAAACAACAGAAGAAAACGUGACUCCCUCUUAUCGGCUGAGAAGUAAGGGUGGGGUUCGCCCACUAGAGAUAAAUGCCAAGACCGAACCGCCAGCAGAAUAGCAGAGUGAACCUGAGGGAUCUUAGUGUCCAUUUUUAAGGCAAAACCAAUUGAGGAGAGAGCGAGAAAGAGUUUUUUCACGAUGGCAACCAACAACGAAGGUAAAAGAAACUUUUAAAAAAAUGAUUAUUAAUUCACUGUCUAUAAAAUACAACAACAUUGCUCUAAUUAUUUAUAGGGGAAUGAGUAGGAAGGAAGAUGUUUUCUGUUUCAUCUGGGUGGUCAGCGGGGCGGUUGAAAGAAUUGCCAGUGAAGCAUUCUCUACCGGGGGUCAUUUUACGCAGUGUAACCUCAGGCAGUGCCCGAUUCUGGGGGACUUGCUCCCAGGCAAGUGCAGGCGAUGCAGCCCCGAGCUUUCCAUGUCGGGAGGAAGAUCUGCAAGCGUCGCUUCAGUUUAAGCCGAGCGCUUCCUUCAGAUCUGCCUCUUUGUCUUUUCCCAGGAGGAAGCUACCCCAAAGUCAGAGGAGAAAGGCGAAAAAGGACUGUUUUUAGCCCAUCUUACGUCGAGCUUCUAAAAAAGUCGUUUGAAGAGGACCUGUACCCCGGAUACGAGACUAGGGAGUCGCUGGCGAGGAGCAUCGGAAUCGAAGAAGAUCGUGUGCACGUAAGAAGAGGGAUAGUGGGGGUUCCUAGGACUUCCUUAAACUGCAAAUCCUGGAUAAAUUUAAAUCGCUCAGAAUAAUUCUUUCGUUGUCAUUCAAUUUCGUUAGAUCUUCCUGAUGCCUCCGAGCUUAAUGUGAAAGGUGCCGUAUUCAAGAGCCAACUUCCUCUUUCCUGGGUUUUUGUGGGGUUUUAUUGGGGGGGGGCUGUUGUACCGUGGAUGUAAAGGCUUUUUGUAAGGGGCGGGUGCGUUGUGUCCCCUCCUUUUCAACUGCAGAAAGAAAUUGUGCCCAUACUUGUUCAGAAAUCCUGGUUCCUGAUUAAGGCUUCCUUUUCCUUCCCACUCAAAUUAUUGGAGGCACAUACUUUCAAAUAUCAAAGGUUCUGGGUUUGAACAGUAAAAACUCUUAACAGACCUGGUUUCAACCUAAUUUGAGGAUAAAACCAUCUGGUUUUCUAGGCUGCCUUUAUAACCUGACCCACCUGACCGAACUCCCAAGGGAGUGUGCAUAGGAUACUCCUAUUAGGAUUGCAGCUUUCAGCACCUUGCAUUGAGAGACCAAAUGUGCAGCAUUCAGUUCGUACCACACUUAAGCAACAUUGCUUUUCUAGCCAAUGUCCCGCAAGUCCCUAGUUCUCCCACACUGAAAAAAUUACACCACAUGAGGCACAAAUAUUUGGCGGUCCUCUGAGCUAGAAAGUGAAAUUAUGACCUAUCCAUUUGGAAAUAAUGGGCAUUUUGUUCUCUCCUUUCUUUUGUUCAGACCUGGUUUCAGAACAGAAGAGCGAGAACAAAGGUUCCAAAAUAAUGAUCAGGAACUGAGCUACAGCUCCUUAUAGCCGCUGUGACAGAAGAAGUCCAUUAAAAGCCUGGGGAGCAGCCCAAAAAGCAGCCAUGCAGCUUCCAUUAUCCCGAAAGCUUUUGUUCGGACCUGGUUUCAGAACUGAAGAGCGAGAACAAAGAUGACUAGGUCCAAAACAAUGAUCAGGAACUGAGCUACAACUCCUUAUAACCGCUCUGACAGAAGAAGUCCAAGCACUCCGAGGAGCAGUGCAAGAAGUCCGACGCAGCAAUAAUACCAGCCACGCAGCUUCCAUUAUCCCAAAAGCUAUGAAGGAGCAGGGUUCUGGCAGCCGCCUCUCAGCACCACGCAACCAGGAGAGCCCGUCUAUGCCGCACAGCAGCAGAACUCCCAGGAAUUGAACCCGGUUCAUUACCAGCCAGCUGCUGUUGGUGGAACUGGGCUUUCUGAGACUUCCCAGGAAAGGAACUGCCCAGUUCCAUAUUAUGGUGCAGAGAUGAUGAGGCAGCCUCCACCAUCGGCUGGUAACUUCUGCACUCCAUCAAGCAGUAAAACUCCCUGGUCUGCAAUGGGGAACAGUCAUGCAAUGGGGAAUUAUCCAGCUGCAUAUCCCGUGCAAAUGUUGGCUGAAGAUUGGCAGCAAGAUCGGCAGCAAAGCAAUAUCUUCCCUUCUCCCGACGCUUUCAAGGGUUGCCCAUCCAUAUAAAUCCCCCCCCAACUUUUAAAUUCUGUGUAUUUUAAAGUUUUUCAAUAAAGUUUGAUAUUUUA